rnacentral:lncRNA from 7 species
GGAAGCUGAUUUUAAUGGGAUAGUUUUGUGGCUGAUAGUAAAGUGGGGAAAAGAUUCAGAGCUUUCUUCUUUAGGCUAUUUUUUGAAUUGCAAACCAAAUUUCCUUCUCUUGCUUUCUGAAAGAUAGAAAGAAACCUCUAAUACCACAAAGGAAAAUGCAACGUAUUAGGAUUGCUUAAUGUUCUCUGUUAAGUGAAUCUGAAAGAAACAUUUCUCCUUGAUCUGUCAGUUGCUCCUCACCCAGGAAUCCUGGUGUAGGUGGAAACUGAGCUGCUUCAUUGUGGGAGUGAGGAUGUUAAGUUCUCAGGCAUACAGUGUUGCAGCUGCUAGCAGUCCCUGAUCUGAUGCUACCAUAGUACAGUGAGCUGUUUAAUUCUCCUGGACGUUUUCCUACAGCAACUCUCUGUAAAAAUUUGUUUUGCUGAGGGCAAUUCAUGUCAUCUAAUGAAGAAUUGAAACAGGAAGUCUUAUUUAAGGUAGGAAGGCUGUGCACUUCUCAUAUCACAAGUACGAUGCUAUAACUCAUUUUGACUAUCAGAUUUUUGUUCUUCUCUGAGAUUAUUCCUUCUGCCUGGCCCUUAUUUUAACAGGAUAAAUUCUGAUAUUUUCUCAUCACUGAAGUAAGGGAGUCUGUUAAAGACACUGGUAUUCCUCUUCAGGUCUGCUCCUCUCUGAACUAGGCCCAUGAAGGAAAGAGUUUGUAUGACACCCUCUAACAACUCAUCAGUUGCACAGAGACUUUUUUCUUCAAUUUCUCUGCCUGAACAUGAAUUUUCACUUGUAUCCAUUUUUGGGUUUAUCUUUCUCCUUGGAAUAUUCAAUGGUUCUUAGGGGAAUUAUCUUUAGGAAGCUGAAGCCACUGUUGUUAAUUACCCUAACCAGAUGCCUACUGUGUAUCUUGAUUACCCAUCUAGACUUUUGUUUAUAGUUAGUGAAAAUAUACAAAUGUUUCCAAGCCAUUAUGCAGCUCACCCUAAACUUACAGCUGUUACAUCUCUGAUGGGAGAUGCUUUGGUCAGGGGGUCAUCUGAUAUCAGAAGCAUAUAUCCUCCUUCAUAGAUCUGUAGCUAAUUUGAAUCCUGACCCAUAUGUAGCUUAAAGCUGUUUGUUUCAUUCUGUCAUAGGGUAAACAAAAUCAAGCAAUGAAUUCUCUUAAAUCU